CCGCUGCGUGCCUUGCCGGAGUUUUACGGCGGGUGGCGGUGGGGUAGCAGAAAGCAAUCAGUUUUGGUUUCCAAGUUCUAAUUUGGGGGUGUGGGAAAGGGUGGGGAAGGUCACAGCCAGCCUCGAGAGAGAAUAUCAGCAAGGCUUGGAAUUUGCGCACGAUCUUCUCCUCG
rnacentral:ribozyme from 15 species